rnacentral:lncRNA from 1 species
AAUAAAAUUAUAAAAUUAUACUGCAAAGAGAGUUAUUAGCUGUUAUGAAAUAAUAGCAAAAUAAGUGGUGUAUAUUGAGUUCAAUAAGAAAAAAAUUAACAAUCCCCUUAAUUUCAAAAAGAAAUAUAUAUAUUCUAACUUAGUGACAACCUAAUAAUUAAGAAAAAGGCUGGGGGCAGUUUCGUAAUCUCAAGAGCCAGAAAUGUCGGGCCCAUAAAGUCAUGCAACAGGUACCUAUGCAUCUGGACGAGAGUAGGGGUAAAAGCUUUGUUGGAGGGCGGUGAGCAAUUCUGUUCUUGCAAGUUACAGGUGUCCAUUUAUGGGAACCUAAAUCUGCCCACCCUUUUACAUCCAACGGUUGAGAGGAUAAAGGUGACAGGUCUGGGCAGAGAAUCAAUUGUUUACCUUUUAUUUUCUUGUUCUUUUUAGAAAAACAAAACCAAGUGGGAAAUGGUUCUUUGCUUGAUGGGCUUAAAAAGUAAAAUACUUUAAAAGCUGUCAAAGAAAACGUUUCAAUUUUACUUUAUUUUGCACGCCGAAGGCAACAAGGCAAAAAGCUCUUCUUGUUACGAUGGGUCAAAUCUGUCUUAACCCAAUCACACAUUUUAAAAUAUUUUUGAUCCAAUAAAUAAAUAAGAAUGACAAUAGGUACUAAGUCUACGCCACAUAAAAUUUAAAUUGUUAAAUUUAUCCACAACUCACGAUAGGCUUUAAUUUUUUUUAAAAACACUUAUCCGCCACGAAUUUUGAUAAUUAACA